rnacentral:rRNA from 1 species
UGGGGAAUUUUGGGCAAUGGGCGAAAGCCUGACCCAGCAACGCCGCGUGAAGGACGAAAUCCCUCUGGGAUGUAAACUUCGAAAGUUGGGGAAGAAAUCCUGACGGGGAAUAUCCGGCGGGGAUGACGGUACCCAACGUAAGCCCCGGCUAACUACGUGCCAGCAGCCGCGGUAAUACGUAGGGGGCAAGCGUUGUUCGGAAUUACUGGGCGUAAAGGGCGCGUAGGCGGCACGACAAGUCGGAAGUGAAAGCCCGGGGCUCAACCCCGGAAUGUCUUUCGAAACUGUCGAGCUAGAGUGCAGAAGAGGCAACUGGAAUUCCCAGUGUAGCGGUGAAAUGCGUAGAUAUUGGGAAGAACACCUGAGGCGAAGGCGGGUUGCUGGGCUGACACUGACGCUGAGGCGCGAAAGCCAGGGGAGCGAACGG